AUUGAACGCUGGCGGCAUGCUUUACACAUGCAAGUCGAACGGCAGCGCGGGCUUUGGCCUGGCGGCGAGUGGCGAACGGGUGAGUAAUGCAUCGGAAUGUGCCCAGUAGUGGGGGAUAGCACGGUGAAAGCCGGGUUAAUACCGCAUACGACCUGAGGGUGCAAGCGGGGGAGCGUAAGGCCUCGCGCUAUUGGAGCGGCCGAUGUCGGAUUAGCUAGUUGGUGGGGUAGAGGCUUACCAAGGCGACGAUCCGUAGCUGGUCUGAGAGGACGACCAGCCACACUGGAACUGAGACACGGCCCAGACUCCUAAGGGAGGCAGCAGUGGGGAAUGUUGGACAAUGGGGGCAACCCUGAUACAGCCAUGCCGCGUGCGGGAAGAAGGCCCUCGGGUUGUAAAGCGCUUUUGUUCGGGAAGAACUGCUCUGGGCUAAUACCCCGCGGGGAUGACGGUACCGGAAGAAUAAGCACCGGCUAACUACGUG
rnacentral:rRNA from 1 species